rnacentral:rRNA from 1 species
UACAGAGGCCUCGAGCGUUAGGCGGAAUCACUGGGCUUAAAGCGUGUGUAGGCGGAUGUCUAAGUGCCUUGUGAAAUCCCACGGCUUACCCGUGGAACGGCUGGGCAUACUGGAUGUCUUGAGCCACUUAGGGGCUACCGGAACAAAUGGUGGAGCGGUGAAAUGCGUAGAUAUCAUUUGGAACGCCAAUGGUGAAAACAGGUAGCUGGGAGUGUGCUGACGCUGAGACACGAAAGCCAGGGUAGCGAACGGG